UACAGAGGGGGCAAGCGUUAUUCGGAAUUACUGGGCGUAAAGGGCGCGUAGGCGGCUUGGUCAGUCCCGUGUGAAAUCCCUCGGCUCAACUGAGGAACUGGCACGGGAAACUGCCUGGCUUGAGUUCGGGAGAGGGAAGCGGAAUUCCGGGUGUAGCGGUGAAAUGACGUAGAUAUCCGGAGGAACACCGGUGGCGAAGGCGGCUUCCUGGACCGACACUGACGCUGAGGCGCGAAAGCUAGGGAGCAAACGGG
rnacentral:rRNA from 1 species